AGGGUUCGAUUCUGGCUCAGGACGAACGCUGGCGGCAUGCCUAACACAUGCAAGUCGAACGAGAAAGUUCCUUCGGGAGCAGUUAAAGUGGCGCACGAGUGAGUAACGCGUAGACAAUCUGCCCUUCAGUCUGGGACAACUUUUCGAAAGGAGAGCUAAUACCGGAUAACAAUGCAUGACACAAGUUGUAUAUUUGAAAGCUUUAUGUGCUGAAGGAGGGGUCUGCGUCCCAUUAGCUAGUUGGUAAGGUAAAGGCUUACCAAGGCAACGAUGGGUAGCGGGUUUGAGAGGACGAUCCGCCACACUGGAACUGAGACACGGUCCAGACUCCUACGGGAGGCAGCAGUGGGGAAUAUUGCACAAUGGAGGAAACUCUGAUGCAGCAAUGUCGCGUGAGUGAAGAAGGCCCUUGGGUCGUAAAGCUCUUUUAUGGGGGAAGAUGAUGACGGUACCCCAAGAAUAAGCACCGGCUAACUAUGUGCCAGCAGCCGCGGUAAUUC
rnacentral:rRNA from 1 species